UACAGAGGGUGCAAGCGUUAAUCGGAAUUACUGGGCGUAAAGCGUGCGUAGACGGUUACAUAAGUCGGGUGUGAAAAGCCCCCGGGCUCAACCUGGGAAUUGCAUUCGAGACUGCGUAGCUAGGGUGCGGAAGAGGGAAGCGGAAUUUCCGGUGUAGCGGUGAAAUGCGUAGAUAUCGGGAGGAACACCAGAGGCGAAGGCGGCCACCUGGACGAACACUGACGCUGAGACGCGAAAGCGUGGGGAGCAAACAGG
rnacentral:rRNA from 1 species